rnacentral:rRNA from 1 species
UAUUUCAAUUUUCUUUCACAAUACUAUUACACUAUAAUUAAAAUUAUUUUUUCUUUAUUAAAUACUAAAACAAAUCACUAUAUAAUUAUUUUUAAUAAUAUAAAACAAAAAAAAUCCUAAAUUAAUAAAUAAAAUAUAAUCAAUUUAUAUUGAUUUGCACAAAAAUCUUUUCAAUGUAAAUGAAAUACUUUACUUAAUAAGCUUUAAAUUGCAUUCUAGAUACACUUUCCAGUACAUCUACUAUGUUACGACUUAUCUUACCUUAAUAAUAAGAGUGACGGGCGAUGUGUACAUAUUUUAGAGCUAAAAUCAAAUUAUUAAUCUUUAUAACUUUACUAUCAAAUCCACUUUCAAUAAAUAUUUCAAAUUUAUAUUCAUAUAAAUAAUUUUAUUGUAACCCAUUUUUACUUAAAUAUAAGCUACACCUUGAUCUGAUAUAUUUUCUUUUAUAAAAUUAUGAAAAUUAACAUUCUUAUAAAAUAUUCUAAUAACGACGGUAUAUAAACUGAUUACAAAUUUAAGUAAGGUCCACCGUGGAUUAUCGAUUAUAAAACAGGUUCCUCUGAAUAGACUAAAAUACCGCCAAAUUUUUUAAGUUUCAAGAACAUAACUA